AAGGGUUUAGCUAAAGGGUAUAGCUUUGGUCUCCAAAACCAAGAGUAAAGGUUCGAUUCCUUUAACCCUUG
rnacentral:tRNA from 2 species